rnacentral:rRNA from 1 species
AGGACGAACGCUGGCGGCGUGCUUAACACAUGCAAGUCGAACGAGGAUUAUGUUGGAAGGGCUUCGGCCUGGAAGGCGUAAUUCGAGUGGCGGACGGGUGAGUAACGCGUGAACAAUCUGUCCCGGACAGGGGAAUAACACUUGGAAACAGGUGCUAAUACCGCAUAAGACCACGCCCUCGCAUGGGGGAGGGGUAAAAGGAGGAAUCCGGUUCGGGGUGAGUUCGCGUCCGAUUAGAUAGUUGGUGAGGUAACGGCCCACCAAGUCGACGAUCGGUAGCCGACCUGAGAGGGUGAUCGGCCACAUUGGAACUGAGAGACGGUCCAAACUCCUACGGGAGGCAGCAGUGGGGAAUAUUGGGCAAUGGGCGAAAGCCUGACCCAGCAACGCCGCGUGAGUGAAGAAGGCUUUCGGGUUGUAAAGCUCUGUUAUAGGGGACGAAGGAAGUGACGGUACCCUAUAAGGAAGCCCCGGCUAACUACGUGCCAGCAGCAGC